GUCUGAAUUCCAUCUAAUCCCUAUCAGGGAUUGAAAC
rnacentral:other from 1 species